GCCUCUUUCUUUCUCUCAAAUAGCCGCUUUCUUCCCGUCGAAUCAACCUGCAAAAUUUUUAGUUUUCUACCAAUUCCUUCAACAACCAAUUGUCCUUCCUUUUGAUUGCAACCCACAAAAUCCUCCACACGCACGUGAAUUUUUGUCCUACCCCAAAAAUUAGGUCAGUAAAAUUUUUUCCCCCAAAAUCUAGAAGCCUGCAAAAUCUUCAAUUUUCUGUCAAUUCCUCGAGCAACUAAUUGUACUUCCACCAACUAAUUGUACUUCCUUUGGAUUACCUCUCAAAAAAUCAUCCACAUUCGCGUGAAUUCUUCUUUUUCCCUAAAAAACAGCUCACUCAAAUCUCUUUUUCCCCAAAAUCAGCUCAUUUUAGGGAUGGCUGUUCUACCGCCUUAUCAUCUAUGCUAUAGCUUUCAGAACUUACUAUUUCCAACUCUAUAUAUACCUCUGUUUCCCAGUUUUGCCGGUAUUCAGCAGACGAGCGAAGAAAAUCUAGGCGAGCAAAGAAAAUAUAGGUAUGUUUCUAUUUUAUCACCUUCUAUUUUGAACUGCAAGUUUUUUUUUCACUGUUGUUGCCUCUGUUUAUUGCUUUCUCUUAAUUAAGAAAUGCGAUGUGUUUGAUGUUAUGCUAUGAUAGUUUACUUUUCCCUCUGUUUUUUAUUUCAAAUGUUGCAUGAUGCUGUUAGCUGCUUAUCUAUUCAAUAAUUACAUCAUUUAGUAUCAUUGUCCUUUGGCUUAUUAAGGUUGUCAUUUUAUAUAUAUUACUUAGUUUUACCUAUUCUAGGAUGCUUUGAUUCUGUCAUUUUGUGUGCCUUUGGAUUAGCAUUUUGCUUUGUUUAUAGUAAAAUUAGAUUUUGAUUUUUUGUGUUUCAAAAUGAAAAAAAAAAAAAGAAAAUUUAGUACAGGUUUUAGAUUGAUAGAUGAAAUGUUUGAUGAUUCCCCUGAUCUAAGAAUGUUGGAAAGAAACAAAAAGACAAACUUAAAUAUGCUGACUUAAAUAAGCUUCAAUUGUUCACACCAAGCACAAAGUUGGUACUUGAAGAAAUUGCUGGAGCCAGUUCUUACAAAGACAGCCAGACAUCUGCAACCAGUGGAGCAAAAUGAAGCCUUGAGUUUCCAGAAGAUUUACCAGCAGACACACAUGCUAAACAUCCAACAAAGGCUCCUGAAGAGUUUGCCAAAGAACCUGCAAAACUGUAUGGUCCACCUGCAAAUAUCAAAGACAGUCUAACCAAGAAAGCUAAAGCAAAGGAAGACUAAUAUGGCCUAUUUCUGUACUUUUGUUAAAUCUUUUGUUCAUUGCCUUUCCUCCAUUGCUUAGACAAUAUCUUUUGAAUUAUAUUAUGAUCCAUUAUUCUUUUGACUUAAAAA